GACGAACGCUGGCGGCGUGCUUAGCACAUGCAAGUCGAACGGAAAGGCCCUGCUUUUGUGGGGUGCUCGAGUGGCGAACGGGUGAGUAACACGUGAGUAACCUGCCCUUGACUUUGGGAUAACUUCAGGAAACUGGGGCUAAUACCGGAUAGGAGCUCCUGCUGCAUGGUGGGGGUUGGAAAGUUUCGGCGGUUGGGGAUGGACUCGCGGCUUAUCAGUUUGUUGGUGGGGUAGUGGCUUACCAAGGCUUUGACGGGUAGCCGGCCUGAGAGGGUGACCGGCCACAUUGGGACUGAGAUACGGCCCAGACUCCUACGGGAGGCAGCAGUGGGGAAUAUUGCACAAUGGGCGGAAGCCUGAUGCAGCAACGCCGCGUGCGGGAUGACGGCCUUCGGGUUGUAAACCGCUUUCGCCUGUGACGAAGCGUGAGUGACGGUAAUGGGUAAAGAAGCACCGGCUAACUACGUG
rnacentral:rRNA from 1 species